AGAGCCAGGCGCAGGCUGCCCGAGGUGACAGGACUCGAGGGCCCGGCGCGGGGACAGCGGCACGGGUGUGUCAGCCGAAAUCGGACUGCAAGACAUAGAGCGUUGACGCUGAAAUAAGAUUGCUUUUCACUGGCGGGGAAGCGAGCUGGACCGAUCAGCGGUUGCCUAUUCAGGUUCUGGACUCUGGUUUUUAUUAUUUAUGAAGAGGUGACCGAAAGCCUUGGGCACGGGGGAAAAAGCUGGAGGGUGACAAUUGAGGGAGAGUGCGCUAGUCUUCUGCUUUACUCCCCUUCGUAGGACUGUAGGAAGCGCGGCGCCGGCCCGCGGCGCUGCGCGGUGGGAGAGGCGGGGAAGGAGAAAACCUCAGAAAGGUGACUUCAUGUGUCUGCCCCCCUUAAAUGUAAAAUGCAGAACACUGGCACGGUACUGCUUUAAUCCAAAGGAAUAACUCUCCCAGUGGAAGAAUUUCUAUAACCUGGCAUUUGAAGCAGGAAGGCCCUUUGAGGAUAGAUUCUUACCAAGGACAUUCAAAUCACCUCAGGUCUGCAAUCGCUCGUCCUGAGAACCUAACAGACUGACCAAGUAGAAAAGAAAGUUUCAAGGAGUGGUGUAUCCUGGGGAUGAGACGUUGUUGGCUGACUGACAGUGUUGAGCCCUCCGUGAAAUAAUGCAAAUUGUCCAGUACACUGAGACAAGAAAGCUAAAAAAGCAGAAUCUAAGUUAUCAGGUCAUCUAAGAAAAAAUCCAAACCUUUGAAAUUUGGAUCACACUUGACACGUUUAGAAACACUGGGGAUGGCCAGGCGCGGUGGCCCAUGCCUGUAAUCUCGGCACUUUGGGAGGCCGAAGCCGGUGGAUCACUUGAGGUCAGCAGUUCGAGACCAGCCUGGCCAACAUGGUGAAACCUUGUCUCUACAAAAAAAAAUACCAAAAUUAGCCGAGUAGGGUGGUGUGCGCCUGUAGUCCCAGCUACUCAGGAGGCUGAGGCAGGAGAAUCACUGGAACCUGGAAGGCGGAGGUUGCAGUAAGCUGAAAUCAAGCCACUGUACUUACUCCAGCCUGGGCAACAGAAUGAAACGUUGUCUCAAAAAAAAAAAAAAAAGAAAGAAAAAGGAAAAAAGAAACACUGGGGACAAGAGUAACACAAUUCACUUAUAUUCCAGAUAUGUGGCAGUUUCACAAAAGUUUAGUCUAUUACAAAGAUGCAAUCCCAAUUUAGAGAUGCUGUUGGCAAAAGAACUGGUUAAAUGCCCAAAGAGGAGUCUGGUAGGAAGACGAAGGAGUCCGGUACUUGCAAAGGAGAAAGUGAGAGAUCCUAUUGUUAGGUGUCACAUAUGAGGUUUGUAAUCAAUCAGUGUUUGGGUUGAUAUGUCUGGCCCAUGGCUCAAGUGUUUUUCUUUUUUUGUUGUUGUUUUUUUGUUUUUUGUUUUUGAGACGGAGUCUCGCUCUGUCGCCCAGGCUGGAGUGCAGUGGCGCAAACUCGGCUCCCUGCAAGCUGCGCCUCCCGGAUUCACGCAAGUCUCCUGUCGCAGCCUCCUGAGUAACUGGGACUACAGGCGCCCACCACAACGCCCGGCUAAUUUUUGUAUUUUCAGUAGAGACGGGGUUUCACCAUGUUAGCCAGGAUGGUCUCAAUCUCCUGACCUCGUGAUCCGCCCACCUCGGCCUCCCAAAGUGCUGGGAUUACAGGCGUGAGCCACCGCGCCCGGAGUUUGUUUUUUUGAGAAGGAGUCUCGCUCAGUUGCCUGGGAUGGAGUGCAGUGGCGCGAUCUCUGCUCACUGCAACAUCCACCUCCCCGGCUCAAGCAAUUCUCCUGCCUCAGCCUCCCGAGUAGCUGGGAUUACAGGCGCUCACCACCACACCCGGCUCAUUUUUGUACUUUUAGUAGAGGCGGGAUUUCACCAUGUUGGCCAGGCCGGUUUAGAACUCCUGACCUCAAAUCAUCUGCCCACCUCGGCCUCCCAAAGUGCUGAGAUUACAGGCGUGAGCCUCCGUGCCGGCCGGCUCAAGUGUUUUUCAUAUGAAAUUUCAUCUUGAGGAAAAGGAUGGUUAUCAAAGACUCAAGCCUAGAAAUGGGAUAGGAGCAAUGUAUAAAUAACAAGUUAGGAUACUGUAAGCUUCUUUUACCAAAUAAAUAGCCAAACCCUGAGAACUUACAUAGAACUUACAUAGAACAGUAAAGAUACCACAGUACUUCGAUUUAUUUUUUUUCAUUGGGACAACAUAUAAUGACAAUUUCCUUAGCAAGCAUGUCCUGCUUCAAAAUGGCUUUAAAUGGCUCCAGCAUCAGCAAUAGUCUUAACAGCAGAUACGUAAACUGUUUUGAAGAGGCCAUGGUUUACUUUUUCCUUCCAUUUCUAUAGCCCUGUCUUCCAUCCAUUUCUUUCUGCAUUCUCAUAUAUUCUCUAACAAACGUACUAUAUACUGAGCACCUACAAUAAUGUCAGCCCCUGUGAAUACAUUGGUAAGCAAAACAGUACAGUCUUUGUUGCCAUGAAAGGGGAGACAAACAUUAACCAAAUAAUUGUACCAAGGAAUAUAUACUUGCUAACCUGUAUAAAUUUUAUAAAAGAAAAACAUUCAUGUUAAAAAUAAAAGGCUUAAUAAAUUCUAGGCUCAUGCCCCUGUAAUCCCAGGGCUUUGGGUUACAGGCUGAGGCAAGAGCAUCGCUUGAGGCCAGGAGUUUGAGACCAGCCUGUGCAACAUAGUGAGUCCCUGUCUCUCCAAAAAAUAAAAAUAGGCAUGGUGGGGCACGCCUUUAGUCCUAGCUACUUGGGAGGCUGAGGUGAGAGAAUAGCUUGAGCAUAGGAAUUCGAGGUUGCAUUGAGCUUUGAUGGCACCACUGCACUCCAGCCUGGAUGACAGAGGAGACUCCAAAUACACACACACACACGCACACACGCGUGCACAUACACACACACACACACAUAUAACCAUAACUUUUUUUUUAAGAGACAGGAUCUUGCUAUGUUGCCCAGGCUGGCUUCAAACUCCUAGACUCAAGCAAUCCUGCUGCCUUAGCCUCCCGAGGAGCAAGGAUUAAACUAACCAUAACUUUUGACAGGGGGACAGGACCAUGUGGUUCAGCUCUAUCACUGGUUAGACAAGGUAUGCCCAGUGGCAAGGGGAUGGUGCCCAGGGCUGCUGCACUUCUACCUGAACACAUGCUGAUUUCCUCCAUUAGUUACCAUUCACUUCUUAAAAUACAUCUAUUUUCAAAUGAAACCAUUUUUCAAUAGAAUGGUAAUACUGUUUAAUGAUAAUUGUUUUCCUUUCUUCCCUUUGUUUAAUUUACUUGCCUUGCAGACAAAUAUUUACUUGGUAAACUUUGAAAGAGAUAGAUUUCUGAUAUCUUGGAUGAAAUCUGUGGAAAAAAACAGGCUACCCAGGACAUUCUGUCUCUCAGAUACACCAUUGAAGAAUAAAUAUCUUUAGGAGGGAAAAGCACUGACUGAUUAUUUGACAAGUAAAAAGUAUGUGUACCUUGUAUGGUUAUGUAAUGACAAAGGUGUUUCUUGGUCCCCCACGUCCAAAAGAAGUACUUACUUUCUCAGUCUAGUCAGUACUUAAUGGAAAAAUCAGUCUAUCUAUACCCAGACUAAACUUAUUAAAAACUGUCCUGUAACACACAGCAUUGAUUUAUUAAUAUGAAACAACUUAGAAUAAAAACAUUAUGGUAAAUCAGUAUUACCAUCAAAUAAUCUUUUAAUAUUAUUGAAUAUGUUCCACCUGUAGUACUGCUAGACAAGAAGCAUCAUUCCUGACUACAAAGAGCUUACAGCCCUUAUGAUUAUUUCUCUAUCUUCCUUGAAACUAUUCAUGGUUUGUUUGCAUUUUUUUCUUAUCAAGCCAUUUGGAUGAAGCAUAAGAAUCUUACCUUAAUUAUGAGAAACUCAUUGUUUUCAUAUAAAUUAAAAUGUAUUAAUGAUAACAGGAUUGGAUGGUUGAACAUUUUCUAAGAAAACCUUUAAGUUGAGCAUUAGCUGGUCUCUGAAGAUUUCAUCCAAUAAAGCCUUUAGGAAGUGAAGUAUUUCGUGAAGGUUCCUCCUUUUAAAAAGUCCCUUAAUAUGUGCUCUUAGAAAUGGCAUCCCACAUUUCACUAUGACUGGACUGGCAAAAUAAGUGCUUGGGCAAAAGCAGCAAAGAUCACGUUUGUCAUCAUGUAGCUGCACAGAAUACAUGCAUGUAACUGCCAAAAAUCAGGCAGCUGUCUCACCCUUCUAGAGGCAAAGAAACAUAGUCUUCCAAAAUUUACUUGUGUAAAACCAAAAUAAAAUCAUAAAUGUGAAAAAAAUCUCCUUCCUUUGAAGUUAUACUAAAUCUGGGUCAAAGGAAAUUUAAGGAAUUUUGUUAUUUCCUAGAAAAGCUAAAGUGAACCUGUGGAAUUUCAAGAAGGCAUACCUAUAACAAUAUUAGACAGCUUUAUAGGUUGGCCAUAAAAAUCUGUAAACACAGCAAAUAUACCUAAUAAAUGGUUUGUUGUUAUUACGUAAUAUGUUUAGUGACAUUACAUGAUAUGUUCAGUGACAUUACAUGGUAUGUGAAUUGUGUUGUCCCUUGUAACAAUGCUCAUGUUACAAAGCAUGGUGCAUUGAUACAACAUUUUUCCCAAUCCAAGCAAAAGCAAAAUCAGCUGCAAUGUGUUGCCUCAGUUGAUUUCUCCCUCUGAUUUCUCCUGAAUAAACCUGUACCUUUAGCAUACCUCAGAAGAAGUAAGUAAUCAGGGAGUUCAAUGUGUAAAAUCAAUAUAUACUAUAAUAUUAUUUACUUAAGUCUGUAAAAAAUAAAAUAACAUUGUCUGUGUUUCCAGACUUUACGGCCACCUUUUUAUAAAGGUAAACUGGUAUUUAACUUUCUGUUGACCUUCAGCAUUUUAUUUUCAGCCUACAUAUAGGUAAAAGCCCAGUGAAAUCUGCCAUUGUAUUUACUUUUAAGUUGUUAACAGAUUAUUCUUCUCACAGAUACUAUAGAUACUGUAAUUGACUCUGUUUAUCUCUUUCUGUUGGCUCUCGAAAGCCUAGAGCAAAAUGUGUGGCCCAUCUGUACAGAAUCUUAUUGCUUGCAUUUUUAGAAGUAACCUCAAGGUUCAUUUUAACUUUCUUAUAUCAUUUUUCCCAUUGUACUCAUUUCCUUACCUACUUAAAAAAAUGAAAAGCAACUUGUUUUUCUCUUCCCAAAUAUAAAAUAUAUUUGCUAUAUGAAAUGUGUUAAAUACAUAUAAGAGAAAAGAAGAAAGUGAAAUGAUCUGUCCUUUUCACUGACCACAUUUAGUUCUUGAUAGUUUGGCAUUUUCCAAUGCAUACAUAUACAUUUUAAAAAGUGGCUUAUUCGGCCAGGCGUGGUGGCUCAUGCCUAUAAUCCCAGCACUUUGGGAGGCGGAGGCGGGUGGAUCACCUGAGGUUGGGAGUUCGAGACCAGCCUGGCCAACAUGGCAGAAACCCCAUCUCUACUAAAAAUACAAAAUUAGCCGGGCAUGGUGGCACAUGCCUGUAAUCCCAGCUACUCAGGAGGCUGAGGCAGGAGAAUCACUUGAACCCAGAAGGUGGAGGUUGCGGUGAGCUGAGAUCACGCCAUUACACUCCAGCCUGGGCAACAAGAGCGAAACUCCGUCUCAAAAAAAAAAAAAAGAAAGAAAAAAAAAAAAAGUGGCUUAUUCUACACAUAAUAUUUAUCAUUCAUCUCUGAAUUUAACAGCAUAUAUUGAACAUCUUUAAUAGAAUCAUAUACUAUUCUGCAACAUCAUUUUAAACAAUUGCAUGGCAUACGCAAAACGGAUAUGCUGUCAUUUAACCAACUUCCCCCUGUUGAAUGUUUAAAUUGCUUUCAAUUCUUUACUGCUAUAAACAAUUGUGCAACAUAGCUAAACACAGUGAAUAUAUCUAAAUAUUUGGCCUCACCCUUGAUUAUAUCAGUAAAGUAAAUUCCUAAAAGUGGAAUUGCUAAGUCAGAUAGAAUGCAGACUCUUAAGAUUUUGUAGUUUGCCAAGUUUCCCUAACAAAAGAUGGCACCAGCCAAACACACACACGAUAUCUGAGUGGCUUCUCUCUAGCCCCCUUACCAGUAAUUUUUAAAAAAUCUUUCUUAUUAAUUUUGUAAGUCAUUUUAAGUCAUUACUGAUAUAUGUGAAAUACAAACAAAGAAAAAUGUUAAAAUCUUCUAGUUAAGUAAAAAGCAAUGUGUACACAUCUAAACAUUAGCUUAGGUUAACAUGUUUUUAAAUAUUCAUAUCAAAAAUCACCUAAAUGCCUAAAAAUUUAUGAUUAGGGUUGUUGUUCCUUUGCCAAAAUUUUGUUUGGUGUCAUAUAUUUCCCCCACCCCUCCCACAUACCUGCCAAAAAUAAAGUUUCCAGAAAGGAAGUUCUAUACAAACUCAAAUUGUUGUUCAUCAUUUUCAUCUUUAGUACACAUGCACAAGCCAAUAAAAGUGAGUCAAUAUUUCACCAAGUUCCAUAGCAAAAAAAAAAAAAAAAGCAAAGUAUCAAAAUUUGUCUCAUCAUCAAUAGAAUGAUAGCCAGAGAAGACAUUUUAUUGUCCAUUUCUCAAAAAGAAAACUUAGUGUCGUGAUUUAUAUUAUCCAUCAUGGUCCAAUCACCUUCACUAUCAGUCACUUCAUCAAUGUGCCCCAUGCUUUAUAUAGGAAAACCACCUACUAACCAACUACAAGAUGGACAUGUACUUUGAGUACUUUUGUAACCUGCUGUGGUUGAAUAUUUGUGUCCCCACUAAAUUCAUAUGUUGAAAUCCUAACCCCCAGGGUGAUGGUAUUUGGAGGUGUGGGACUUUUGUAGGUGAUUACAUCAUGAGAGUUGAGCCCUUGUGACUAGAAUUAGUGCCCACAUAAAAGAGACCCUAUAGAGGUAGCUAGCCCCUUCCACCAUGUGAGGACACAGUGAGAAGUCAUCAUCUGUGAACCAGCAAAAGGUCCUUACCCAACACCAAAUCUGCUGGUGCCUUGAUCUUGAACUUCUCACCCUCCAGAACUAUGAGAAAUAAAUUUCUGUUUAUAAGCUAUCUAGUCUAUGUAUGGUAUUUUGUUAUAGUAGCCUUAACACACAAAGACACAACCUUUAUGGGUGAAAUAUGCUAUUCCAUUCAAGUUGUCACCCAGAUCCCUCUUGAAUUAACUGGAUAACAUUUCAAGAUAUGUCUCUUAGUCCAUUUUGUGCUGCUAUACUAGAAUACCACAGAUGGGGUAAUUUAUAAUGAACAGAAACUUACUGGCUCACAGUCUGGAGGCUAGGAAAUUCAUUAUCAAGGUGCUGGCAUCUGGCAAAAGCCUUCUUGCUGUGUUAACAAAUGGCCAAAAGGUAAAGAGAGAGGAACUCUGUGUCCUCAUGUGGUGGAAGAGCAGAAAAGCAAAGAGGCACAAACUCACCCUUUUUAAAUGGCCUUAAUCCCCCGCUGUGACAACUAAGCCCUCAUGGCCUAAUCACCUCUCUAAGAUCCUACCUCUUAAUACUGUUACAAUGGCAAUUUAAUUUCAACAUGAGCUUUGGAGGGGACAACAUUCAAACGGUAGCAGUAGGUACAUAACUGUCAGCAUAGAAUCAAUUUAAAUGACUUGCCCAAUACCUGGAAUGGAACGUGCACCCCGGGCCAUGUUAGCUGUGUUCUAAUUAACUGUGCUGAUGUUUCUGAGGGUAAAUGGCUUAGAAUGUGUAGUCAGUUAAAUAGUUUCCCUUCAAAUUCAUGUCUACCUGGAAUCUCAGAAUGUGCACUUAUUUGGAAAUAGGGUUGUUGCAGAUGUCAUUGGUUAAGAUGAGUAAUGCAUCUAUAAGCCAAAGAACACCAAGCCACCACCAGAAGUAAGAAGAGAGGCACAGAACAGAUUCUCCCUCAGAGCUUCCAGAAGAAACCAAUAUUGCUGACACCUUGAUUUCAAACUUCUAGCCUUCAGGAUUGUGAGAUAAUAAAUUCCUAUUGUGUUAAGCCACCCAGUUUGUGAUUCUUUAAUAUAGUAGCCCUAGCAAAGUAAUAUAAAAGGUAACUAUGAUGCUUUAAAAAGCAUCAAUUAUAGGAUUCAAUGUAGUGUAGCUAUGGCAUCUGUCACCAGGUUAAUUGCCAGAAUUGACUGACUGCUCUGGCAUCCUCCUAGUCCAGAGUUCCCUUCCUCUGAGAGCUCCAUGUGUGUUCUUCCCAAAGUGUCAACUCAAUCAAAAAGAAUGACAUUUCCAAUCUGACAAAGUCUAUUUUUAGUCAAGGUAUGUGGGGAGCUGUACUCCCUGGCUAGAGCUUUCCAAUAAGCACUGAAAUCCCUUUGCAAGCAAAUGUAGGUUAGCCAAAUCUGUUUUUACAAAGCGCCCCUCUCCACCUGUGAUUCUGUUAGAAUAUCAGUCAAAUCAUAGCUCCAUAUCAGUUUCACAGAAAGCAUGUAGAUUUAUAAGAUUAAACUUAUAUAA
rnacentral:lncRNA from 1 species